GAUGAACGCUGGCGGCGUGCCUAACACAUGCAAGUCGAGUGAUCUCUUCGGAGAGAGCGGCGGACGGGUGAGUAACGCGUGGGUAACCUGCCCUGUACACACGGAUAACAUACCGAAAGGUAUACUAAUACGGGAUAAUAUAUGAAAGUCGCAUGGCUUUUGUAUCAAAGCUCCGGCGGUACAGGAUGGACCCGCGUCUGAUUAGCUAGUUGGUAAGGUAAUGGCUUACCAAGGCAACGAUCAGUAGCCGACCUGAGAGGGUGAUCGGCCACACUGGAACUGAGACACGGUCCAGACUCCUACGGGAGGCAGCAGUGGGGAAUAUUGCACAAUGGGCGAAAGCCUGAUGCAGCAACGCCGCGUGAGCGAUGAAGGCCUUCGGGUCGUAAAGCUCUGUCCUCAAGGAAGAUAAUGACGGUACUUGAGGAGGAAGCCCCGGCUAACUACGUGCCAGCCGCCGCCGUAA
rnacentral:rRNA from 1 species